ACGAACGCUGGCGGCUGCUUAACACAUGCAAGUCGAACGGAGUGGCGAACGGGUGAGUAACGCGUGAGCAACCUGCCUAUGACAGUGGGAUAGCCUCGGGAAACCGGGAUUAAUACCGCAUAGUCAUAGCUGGGCUCGCGUCUGAUUGGCUAGUUGGUGAGAUAACAGCCCACCAAGGCGACGAUCAGUAGCCGGUCUUGGAGGAUGAACGGCCACAUUGGAACUGAGACACGGGCCAAACUCCUACGGGAGGCAGCAGUGGGGAAUAUUGCACAAUGGGGGAAACCCUGAUGCAGCGACGCCGCGUGAACGAAGAAGGUAUUCGUAUCGUAAAGUUGUGUCCUAUGUUAAGGAGUACCAUAGAAGAAAGCGCCGGCUAAAUACGUGCCAGCAGCCGCGGUAAUUC
rnacentral:rRNA from 1 species